rnacentral:rRNA from 1 species
UGGGGAAUAUUGCACAAUGGGCGCAAGCCUGAUGCAGCAACGCCGCGUGAGGGAUGACGGCCUUCGGGUUGUAAACCUCUUUUAGUAGGGAAGAAGCGAAAGUGACGGUACCUGCAGAAAAAGCACCGGCUAACUACGUGCCAGCAGCCGCGGUAAUACGUAGGGUGCGAGCGUUGUCCGGAAUUAUUGGGCGUAAAGAGCUCGUAGGCGGUCUGUCGCGUCUGCUGUGAAAACCCGAGGCUCAACCUCGGGCCUGCAGUGGGUACGGGCAGACUAGAGUGCGGUAGGGGAGAAUGGAAUUCCUGGUGUAGCGGUGGAAUGCGCAGAUAUCAGGAGGAACACCGAUGGCGAAGGCAGUUCUCUGGGCCGUAACUGACGCUGAGGAGCGAAAGCGUGGGGAGCGAACAGGAUUAGAUACCCUGGUAGUCCACGCCGUAAACGUUGGGCGCUAGAUGUGGGGACCAUUCCACGGUUUCCGUGUCGCAGCUAACGCAUUAAGCGCCCGCCUGGGGAGUACGGCCGCAAGGCU